rnacentral:tRNA from 1 species
GCGGCUCUGGCGGAAUUGGCAGACGCGCACGGUUGAGGGCCGUGUGGGGCAACCUGUGUGGGUUCAAGUCCCACGAGCCGCACCA